ensembl:lncRNA
AUGACCUCAGGUGUUAAUGGGCCUCUGUUCAUUAGAGGUCCUCACGCGUCCUUGUUUGUGACGCUGCCGUCUCUGUGUCCUGCACCAGGAACAGGCCGCGUCCCGAUUCGCCGUUGCUCCGUUAUCCACCGUCCACAGCCCCACGGACACGCAGCGUUCCCACAGCGCGGCUCAGUGAGCGUGGCCGCGCCGAGUGGAAAGCUCCACGGCUGCGGCUCACCGUUUUCCAGAGUACAAGCACCUGAAAAAAUAAGCCGGCCUUGUCGGCUUGUCCAAAUGGAGGCACCGCAGAACGGUGACCGCAGAGAGCGAUCGUAAAAGAAGCUGAGGAAAAUAUGCUGCGUGUGGCAUGACACCAACGCAGGCUCUGACGGUGCUCCUCUGAGUGACUAAUGCCCUUAUUAAUGGGACGGGACUCACCCCGAUCAGCAUUGGCUGCUGUGACUGGCAGCUUGAACGGUGCCCGGUCUGCAGCGCGGGCGCUUCUUGGGUGACGGAGGGCUCAGACGAGGCCACGACGGGCGGAGACGAGAAGCGGUUGAGGGAAAUCCCACAGGGGCUCAAUGAAUGACCAGAAAACAGAAGCUUCACAUCUACACACAAAUAUGGCAGUAAUACAAAGCUGCAGCUGGUAGAUAAUGACUUAUUUUACAUCUGAGAAAACAAAAACACUAAGCUUCAUUCCAACAGUGACAGAGCUUCUGUAGACUCUUUAGAGAGAAACUCUAAAGCUUCAGAAAACAUCUAAGUUAUAAUGAAACCUGUGUUUCUACUACAGUAGAAGUCGGUUGUGUAACCCACAUAACAUGGCAACAACAUGCAGGUAUUAAUAAGCUUAAGAGGCGCCACUGGAUGCAGCCAAGCAGCUGUUUCCUCCUGUUACUUUCAGCUGCGCCGGCCUCUGAGUGCAGCGUAAUGAGCGGCGUCUGUCACAGUGGUGAAGCAUGAAGCACUAAUAGCAACGGACGACGUUUUCAACAUGACAAUCAAAACGUUCAUUGACUGGCGGUGGUAAAUGCGGUCGCGCUGCAGUAAAACACCUGCUGCCCGAGUUCUACGGACCCGGGUGGAUCGAUCCUCCACAUGUGCCUCCGCCCGCAGUCAAAGGCCCCAAAGUGCUGCUGUAAUAAUGGCAGGAGCAGCUCGGUGCCCGGCGCGCACAGAUUCCCCCCGCUGACAGAUUCACCGCCUCAUAACGAUGCAUUGCAAAGAAAAACACUUGUGAAGUUGUGUGAAUCUGCUGCGUCAGUGCGUCGUUUACAGCAGCCCCAUCCAAGAAUGCGUUUCACGCCAAUUUGUCCCACACUGAAGCAUUUUCAUGCUUCUUAUUACAUAUUUUCCGCUCUGGCGUAGGUGUCCUGGCUGCGUUUUAAAACCUUAUUACAUCGGCAUCGACGUGUUUUGCUCGUUCGGCAAAUGAAACAGCGGGAGCUGCAGGAAAUGAGGCUGUGGCAGCAGAAAACAGGGCGUAACUUACAUGUGUAAUCACCUCCACUAACAUUCUACAUUUUAGCAUUUGCUCUCUAGUAAUAACAACUAUACUGUAAUACAAGCAGCAAAGGGUUAAAUGCUUAUUUGUGGUAAUUUGGGAGUUUUGGCAGAAUAUAUUUAUGAAAUUAAUAGAUGAUUAAAUAUGUUAGACCUUAUUUGCUAACCAUUAACAUGUUCUGUUGGUUUGUUGCAGUGAGAUUUCCCAUAAUGCCGUUCGACGUUGACUCUCCUCUCGGUUUUUCUCUGGUGUGUUUGCACUUGAAGCCAUUUCUGUGUGUUUCCUGCCCCUCUUCACCUCGAUCCCACCACGCUGACACUGAGAUAAAAGGACUGCAACUAGAUACGCAAUGUUGAAGACCGUGUAAAAUGCGUAACACAUGGUCUGUUAAUGCUGGGUCGCUGUUCAGGAGAUCAAUGUUCCCAGGACAACAGGACGUCUGUCAACCAGUGUUUAAAGCACUUCUCUGCCCUAAUUUGUUUGCAUCAGUGACUGACAUUGGAAUUAAGAUCACUAAUGUGCUGUGAACACCUUCCAUUGGUCUGUUUUUUUUUGCCAUAGUAAAAAAAUAAGCAUCUUCUCAGUUAAUCCACACAAAUCUCUCUGCUUAAAAAACUUUGUUAUUUAAUGGAUUAGAAACUGGGAAACAGCGAGCAGCAAAUCAAACCUGAACCAAGCUAAACCAAUGGAUACAUUUAAUAAAUAAAAACAAUAUAAAUCA